CCUACGGGUGGCAGCAGUGAGGAAUAUUGGUCAAUGGACGAGAGUCUGAACCAGCCAAGUAGCGUGAAGGAUGACUGCCCUAUGGGUUGUAAACUUCUUUUAUAUGGGAAUAAAACACGGUAUGUAUACUCUCUUGUAUGUACCCUAUGAAUAAGGAUCGGCUAACUCCGUGCCAGCAGCCGCGGUAAUACGGAGGAUCCGAGCGUUAUCCGGAUUUAUUGGGUUUAAAGGGUGCGCAGGCGGAGGUGAAAGUCAGUGGUAAAAUUGCGGGGCUCAACCGCGGACUGCCGUUGAAACUGGAGCCCUGGAGUGCACGAGAGGUAGGCGGAAUGCGUGGUGUAGCGGUGAAAUGCAUAGAUAUCACGCAGAACUCCGAUUGCGAAGGCAGCAUACUGGAGCGUAACUGACGCUCAUGCACGAAAGCGUGGGUAUCGAACAGGAUUAGAUACCCCUGUAGUC
rnacentral:rRNA from 1 species